rnacentral:lncRNA from 1 species
GUACAAACAGGAUGGUUGAAUGAACCUUAGCCCAGUUUAGUAUCUUACCUCUGAACGCGCCAACUUAGAAUCAUUCCUCCAACAGACAUUUCUGUGGCCUCGUCGCGCACACGAGGCCAACUGAGGAAGCCCGUUUUGCAUUCAUAUAAAGCUGGUCUGUAUACGGGGCGCCUGUGAGCAUGGGUCAGGCUCAGGGCCCCUGCAGCCUCCCUCAUCUCCAAAACAGGCCCCUGGUGUCAAAAAGGAGAAAACAGCCUUGCCCGCUAGGUGCAUGUUCUGGCCGGGCCAAGGGAGUGCCAUGGGUGGGAGCAGGGCUUAGGGGCUUUUUGGUGGCAUAAUGACCCUCGUGAAGCUGGAGAGCCAAGAGCAGGGGCAUAAAAGUGUCCUUGUUGAUCACCAGCCUGGGGACAGGAGGGGGGAGCCUGCUGGCUCUGCUUUCUGAGGCUGCGGGAAGGAGCACUCACAGCCACCCGGGUCCCUCCACAGCUGGUGGCCUGGGACUCCCCGAUCUGCCCCCGCUUCCCGGGAGGCUCCCCAUGACCCCACGACCACCCCCGCCUGGCUUUCCACCCAAGCCAAGGACGUGGCCACUUGCACCUAUGCCUUGCUCAGGGGGCUUGUGGUUUCAGAGCUCGUCUUUCAGCCUUGAAGCAGGAAUACCGAACCCUGGGACCAGCACACACCCCGGGGCCACAUGACUAAGAAGCAGCAAAACUCAAAAUCAUGAGAUCCAGCUCAAGUUUUCCCAGCAGAGCGGCUCUUCCCUCUGUUUUGGAGCCGACAGUGUAAAGGGAAGAGGGAGUCCCUCUGGUCACCUUCGGGUGCCUUUGACCUACACCUUGCAUGAGAAUGUCAGCGUGGCCCUGGGUUUGUGUCCAGGUAGAUGGUUUUUCCUUCUGUUCACUGUAGGCCACCUGCUGUUACCUGUGCUCGCGGGAGCCGCUCCCCACGUGCUGCAGGGCCGGACCAGCUGGGUGGGAUGCUGAAGGGAGGCCCCAGCAGGUGGGCGUCAGAGCGCUGAGGGUGAUGCUCCCUGCUGGCCCGCAGGGUCCUGUUCUCGAGGCCCCCAGACCAGUCUCCCCCGGACGGAGGCUGCUGAAGACCUUGCUGCCCCUACAUGGGUGCACACUUUACCUACUGCCUCCCCCGCCCAGCCCCAGAGGGCCGCCCAGCAGCAGGUCCUAGCCCAGCCGUGGGUCCUAGCCCAGCAUGGGGAGCUUGCAGGAACAGUGCUUGCCCAUUUCUGCAGGACAGGUUACCCAAACAACCUCCCCUCCUGGGGGGGCCUGGAAGGGGCCCUCUCCUGCUGGACCAAUCAGGCCUGAGGGAGACGUGAGUCAUGGGGACUGCAGGGUUAAGGUCGAGAACCCUAUACUCAUAGGUUCCUGGGGGACCCCAGGCUGCAACCCAACCCGAACAGUGCCACGGGUCUCAGUUUUUCUGAAAGUAUCUCGAUGGUCACAAUAGCUCUUUGGUUGUUAUAGUUUUCCCUUUUUUUUUUUUUUUUUUUCAAUUCCAUCAUCAUGUACCCCAGGGUUCUCUCCUCUGUGACGUUGGGAAUACAGGCUGCCUGGGCUUAACCAUAAACAUUUCAUUUUUUUAAGUUCUGAGCCAAUUAAAAAUGAUAGAAAAGAUCCUAUCCUCCAAAUUUCUAAUAAAACGGGCCACCAAAGCCACGCGGUGGGGGCUUCCCAUUUUUAGAGUCUCACGAUCCCUGGAGAGGGGGGUGAAAGCUAAGUUACUCAACAGAACAUGUAUGUGAAUGGGUGAUGGGCACUGGGGGUUAUUCUGUAUGUUGGUAAAUUGAACACCAAUAAAAAA